CGAAGGGGGCUAGCGUUGUUCGGAAUUACUGGGCGUAAAGCGCGCGUAGGCGGUGAUCCAUGUCAGAGGUGAAAGCCCGGGGCUCAACUCCGGAAUUGCCUUUGAAACGGGAUCGCUAGAGUCCGAGAGAGGAUGGCGGAAUUCCUAGUGUAGAGGUGAAAUUCGUAGAUAUUAGGAAGAACACCGAUGGCGAAGGCGGCCAUCUGGCUCGGUACUGACGCUCAGGCGCGAAAGCGUGGGGAGCAAACAGGAUUAGAUACCCUGGUAGUCCACGCCGUAAACGAUGAGUGCUAGUUGUUGGGAAGUUUACUUCUCAGUGACGUAGCUAACGCGUUAAGCACUCCGCCUGGGGAGUACGGUAACGCAAGAUUAA
rnacentral:rRNA from 1 species